rnacentral:lncRNA from 1 species
UGCCCGUCCUCAGGACCACCGCCGUGACCCUGUGUCCCCCCCUGAAGAGCCAGUGGGUGACAAAGCCAUGGGGUUCUCCAGGGCCCAUGGGGCGAAGGACAGCAGCAACCGGAAGCGGAAGAAUGAGGCAGAGACGGGACAGGAGGUGCUGAAGGCACCCCAGGGAAAGGCUGUGAAGAAGGAACCAGAGGAAACUCCAUGUGUGGUGCAGCCCCCUGUGCUGAAAGGGAAGAAAAAAUCUGCAAAAAACAAAGAGAAACCACUGCAGGAGAACAUCAUCAGUAGCUCCCUAAAGCAUGAGGCUGUGGAAGGUGAAGGCUCAAGCCAGUGGGAUGGGAUCCGAGCAAAGGAGGCAGCUGCAUCUGGGUUGGAGAAGACUGAAUCCAGCCUUCACCAAGGGUCAUCAGCAGGGCUGGAGGGCUCUUCCAGGUCACAGCCCAAAUCCUGGAGAAAGGGACCUGCAGUGGGACAGCAGCUCUCAGAGACCAAGGACCGAGUUGGGGUCCUGAAAUCAAGUGGUGGUGUUUCUGGCAUGGCUGCGUGCCUCUCUGGAGAGCCUGGGGGUUCGGGGUUGUCUCUGGGGGUCACUGCUAUGAGGGUGGGGAUGGAGAAGGAGCUGGACUCCUCUGUCCCACAGCAGAAAGGGGAUGCCCGAGACCCAAAGAGGAAAAAAGAGAAGAAGCAAGAGCAAAGGAAGCAGAGGGAGAAGGGAUUGCUGAAAAAGGGAGGGAGCAAGAAGGAUGAGUUUGAGGAAGAUCUCGAGGGUGUGAUGGAAGGCAUCGAGGAUGAGGAUGGUGCUGAUGGGGAUGGAAACUGGGGAGUGGGGCAAGACAGAGCCAAGCAAGGGAGCAGCAGUUGUGCCCAGGGAAGGGGCAAUGAGAAGGAAAAGCAGGAGAAGGGGAAAGCAGAGAAAUGCAAGAAGGUGAAAAUAGAGGGGGAGGAGAAAACGGGGAAGAAGAAAAUAAAGAAGGAAAAAAUGGUAGAAGAGGAGCAAGAGCUGGAGAGGGCAAAUGAGGAAUUAGGAGGGGGAGAUGGACCAGGAGGGAUGGAAGGGAGGGAUGUGGUGGGAAAGGAAAGUGAAGAUGGGCAAGGAGUAAAGGAGGAGGUGGAUGAGCAAGGGGAUGAGAGAUGGGGACAGGAAGAAGAUGAGAUGGGGAAGGGAGAUGGGCCAGAGAAAGGGAAAAAGCAGAAAAACAAAGAGAAAAAGCCAAAAGAGAAAAAGGAGAAGGGGAAGAAAAGUAAAGAGAAGAGCGAAAAUGAGGAGAUCCCAGAGAAAACCCGGAAAAGAAAAUCUAAGGAGGAAGGAGAGGAGAAGAACAACAAAAAGGCUAAAAAGGAGGAGAAAGAGAAAGAAAAGAAAGAAGAGGCAGAAAAGAAGUGGAAAUGGUAA